GACGAACGCUGGCGGCGUGCUUAACACAUGCAAGUCGAACGGUGAAGGGACCGGUUUUUGCUGGUUCUGGAUGAGUGGCGAACGGGUGAGUAACACGUGAGUAACCUGCCCCCUUCUUCUGGAUAACCGCAUGAAAGUGUGGCUAAUACGGGAUAUUCUGCGCCUGCUGCAUGGUGGGUGUGGGAAAGAUAUUGUUUCGGUGGGGGAUGGGCUCGCGGCCUAUCAGCUUGUUGGUGGGGUGAUGGCCUACCAAGGCGGUGACGGGUAGCCGGCCUGAGAGGGUGGACGGUCACACUGGGACUGAGACACGGCCCAGACUCCUACGGGAGGCAGCAGUGGGGAAUAGUGCACAAUGGGCGCAAGCCUGAUGCAGCGACGCCGCGUGAGGGAUGGAGGCCUUCGGGUUGUAAACCUCUUUCGCCAGUGAAGCAGGCCUGUCCCUUGUGUGGGUGGGUUGACGGUAGCUGGAUAAGAAGCGCCGGCUAACUACGUG
rnacentral:rRNA from 1 species